rnacentral:rRNA from 1 species
CUAGCCUACGGGAGGCAGCAGUGAGGGAUAUUGGGCAAUGGGGGAAACCCUGACCCAGCGACGCCGCGUGAGGGAAGACGGUCCUAUGGAUUGUAAACCUCUUUAGGCGGGGAGCAAUGCCGGGCACGUGUGCCCGGAGGGAGAGUACCCGCAGAAUAAGCAUCGGCUAACUCCGUGCCAGCAGCCGCGGUAAUACGGAGGAUGCGAGCGUUAUCCGGAUUUAUUGGGUUUAAAGGGUGCGUAGGCGGAUUUUUAAGUCAGCGGUAAAAUGUCCGGGCUCAACCCGGGCCGGCCGUUGAAACUGG